UCUUAAGCGCUGAAGUAGUGGAGUUAAGCUGAUGCUGACUUUGUAACUAGAAACCAGAGUGGACCACACUCACUCCCUCUUGGCCGUGAGUAUUCCGUGAGAGAGACUCAAAGAAAAGCUUAAAAAAAAAAAAAAUCUUACAUUAUCCUCCUACCCUUUUCACAGAAGCCGUGAACCCUUAGGCCAAAAACAUUCACCUCAACUUCCAUUCUAUUCCUUUGCUGUUCGGCUGAAAGUACACCUCAAGGAGGGGAGGCGCUAAUCUUGGGGUCUUCCUUGUUGUCGUGGCUUUGUGUGAUUUGAUGGAGAGCUCACUGCAUGCAGCUCAAAAUCCAGAGCCUUAUCAUCGUUUUCUGCCUUUCUUGUAUUCAGCCGAAGACUCCCUCUCAAGGACACAAAGAAAUUUUUCCUCCUUGUUCAAGGCAACCUAAAUCAGUCCCAAUUAAGCUUUGUUUCGUUUCCCUGCAUGUCCUUGAAUCAGCGGUGGUUGAGCCCUUUCCCUUGCAGGCAACUGGAUUCAGAUUUUUGGAACUUGGGAGAACAAAGAGGGUUGUCCCUUGGUCCGAUUUGGAAUCCUGGAUGUGUAGUCAACAAGAGGUGUGCAUAACUCUUGAAUGUGGAAUGAGGUUGCUGCUACUUGAAUUAUAGUUGGGCACACAAGGAGGACGGAAGAGCAUGUCAAGUCAUGAUUAUAUGGAUAUCUGCUGUUAUGUGCUGCUGUUUGGACUUUUGUUGUUGCUGUUUAUUUGAUGGAUAACUGUAUUAAUUUGAGAAGUUUGGACUACGGUUGGAUUAUGAUUUUACUGCUAUUUUAAGCAUUUUAUUAUCAGAAAAUAUUUUGGAAACAAAUUCUAGAAACGUUUUGUAAAAAUGAUUUCAGACAUUUUACUAAGUGUUGAUUUUAAACAGUUUCGCAAGCA